GCUAGGGGUACCAGGACCACAGCUCUGAAUAAAACUUUACGCUUGGGUCAGAAGAAACCCAACUUCAGGAACCACAGCCCAGGUGCUAUCGUGUCAUAGGUAAACUCCAGAAUACCUAAUGACUAGACCUUGUGGGUACCAGGCUCUACGGUGUUGGGCCAAACCCUGGGCUUGGCCCUUGGUAAACAUGCACUGUGGCAGCCACAUGGCCAGCCUCUCCUGUAUACCUCACAUGUGAUACUCUGCCUCCCCCUUCCCAUUAUAACUGUGGGCUAGCUCAUCUAGAUAGCAAGUUCCAGGCUAGCCAAGGCUGUGUACGUUUUGUGGAACCUCGGUAGACUAGACUUGCACUCAAACAUUGUCUCAAGGAAACAGAAGUUUGUUCUGUGUGCAGUGGCUCAUACCUACAAUCCCUGCACAUGAGAGGCAGAUCACGUGUCCAAGGCCAGCAUUAGGUAUUGAACAAGGUCCUGACUCAAGGGGGCAGGUGGGGUGCAGUUGUAAGGUGUAACCCUAAAGCCCGUGGAGAAAAUUAGACUGGCAUUCCACCUGUUGGCCCACAAAACCAGAUUGCAACUUGGGUAAGCAUUCUGGUUGGGAUAGUGCAGGGGAGACACAGAUGGAGCUGCUUCUCCAGACCCCAGCCAACUUCCAAGAACUUGUCCCUAAACCAGAAACCACUAGCUGGUCAAACUUACAGAGCAGCUUUGGUUUGGAGCCUGGAGCAGGUCUUAUCUGUGGCACCAGGGCUACUGGGGAAACUAAUACUACACAUGACUUUCCAAAAUCUCCCUGGAGGUGAGAAAGUACCCAGUCUGGUUUGGUGGGGUCAGGCCUGGCAACAGGCCCUGCAGGGCAAGGUGCAUAAGCUAAGGUAGGCACCAUGGUCUCCCUACCACAGGGGAGGGCAGCUGGAAAAGCUUCCUACCCCUGCAUGGAGAGCUACUGAGGGGAAGGGGAAACAACUAGGGCAGGUCAGAGGACAGGCAGAGAGGGGUGCCAUCCUAGGGGCCGUCACUCUUCACAGAGAGAGGAGAGCAGUGGGCUAGCCUCACUCCCAUUGUUGUGUUGUAGGCUAAGAGCUAAUUUCCACUUGGACCCUGGGCACAGCUCCAAGGCCUGAGCCGUCAGCACUUUUCUGUCAACCUUAGGUCUUUUUUUCCUAAAGAAUGACUUUAUAGUUCACCAAAAAGUGAAAAGUUACUUUUUACUGCCAGCAGAGGUGUCAGGACAUGUGUACAAAGAAAAAAAAAUAAAAAAACACUUCAAGUGUGUGUGUGUGUGGGCGCGCGUGCGCGUGCUGUGUGAACAAGAACCAAGUUUGGAUCCCUGGGUGGAUCCUGGGGGAAGGGGGGCAGGGGCGGCAGGCUCUCUGGCCAGCAGUCAAUCCAGUCAAGUUGGCAAGAUCCAGGUAGGUCUAAUGAGAGACACUGUCGAAAGAUGGAGAGAGGAAGGCGCUGACAUUGACCUCUGGCCUCUAAACAUGUACUCAUGGACAUGUGUAGACACACAAUUGUCUUUUCAAUAAACGCUGCCGUGAGAGUUGC
rnacentral:lncRNA from 1 species